ACAAUAGUACAGGCUGUACUGUAAUGAAAAUCUGUGACUAAGGACUGUCCUCCCUGUCUGCAGCUGUGCCCAUGCAGAAGCUGCUGAAAGCUGAGCCUAUCACAUUAAAGGUUUAUUGAGGUGAUAGGGUCAAAAGAGGAGGAAAAGGCAGAAAUAUCCCUUUAUACAGACUGAAUACCUCAACCUUUGAAAAAAAGCCUGCAGACAGCCUGUUGCCUGGGGUUACAGAACAAUGCAGAUGGGUUGCAGUAACACCAGCCAUGCCAGAAGCUGUGCUGGCUUCAGUGCCUGCUUUUGUCCCUUUCCAGCUGGAUCAGGACAUCACUGCUGCUGUCGGUAGCUUCCAACACAACACAAGUGGAAGUGGGAACCGCAGGAUGACACCAGCUGGUUUGGGGGAGCCACAUCCGGGACGAUAUUUCCUUCCUGGAUAUUGUUAUUCCUCUACCCACACAGAAGCAGGAACACUCCCCAGGGGAGUGAAGAAAGGCCCAUGUGUCACCCACUUGACAGCAUUGGGCUGCUGCAGUGAUCCCCUGCCUGCACCAGCUUCCGGGACAGGCAAGCAGAGGAUGAAUGAUCACAACAGGUAGGACAGGUAAGGGCAGCCCUGGGGCAGUCCGGCCCUGCUGAGCCAUGCUGUGCUGUCCCAGGGUGCAGGGUGGCUGGAUGAGGGGCUGUGUGCCCUGGCUGUGCCAUACCAUAUCGUCUGAUGAGCUGCAUGCUCUUGUUGUGCCCUGCUGUGGCAUCUGAUGCCAGCCCACUCCAUGCCAUGCCAUCCCACAAGCAGCAUGAGUGACCAGGAGACUGCCAGCUCUGGCUGUGCUGCUCCUGGGGGUGCUGUUGGUCACCUCCCCUCGGUAUAGGAGGGUAUCCAUCACUCCCAGCUCUCCCUUGCCCUCCCUGGGAGGAAGAGGUGCUGUCCCAGCCGCUGCCCAUGCCGCUGGUCCCUGGUGCCACACAGAGGGGCCUUGCCAGCCCCAUACAUGCAGGACACAUGUCCCACUGCUUAGGGAGGCUGGAGGGAUGGCUGUGACUCAUCAGUGCCCGAGGCACCCACACAGCCCCCAGUCUUCAUCGCUGUCUGUCUGGGGACACAACAGGAAGGGCAGUGGAUCUCCCUAUCCCCCACCCUUCCCUAACGAGGCUGGCAUAGCCUUCAAGUGCUGUGCUGAAUGAGAAAGGAGAAAAAGGAAACAAGGUGCCCAGCCCUGGGCAGAAUGGCACAUGGUUUGGUUAGUGCCAGCCUCUGGCACAGCUGCUCACCACGGAGCCCUUUUCUGCCUCCUGGCCUUGCCCCCCUGCAGGCAGCAGAGGAGCCAGUAAGAGGCAGGGGGCAGGUCUUGCCUGCCGUCACAGCUGGAGAGAUGGGUUGGUGCCUUGAGCAAAAGACCAUGUGGCUUCUGCGGUCACGCAUGGACAACAUUGAAAAUGACUGGAAAGCCACCAGGGUCGGCACCAACAUCUUCACCCGUGUGCAGCCACAGAAGGAGUGAGAAGGGCAGCAGGGGCGUUCCCAGGCCGGCAGCAACACUGGAGGGGAAGCCCCCACUCCUGCCCCACCACUUGUUUCUCCCAAUAAAGCUUUGUUGCAAAUCUC